GUGGGGAAUAUUGGACAAUGGGCGAAAGCCUGAUCCAGCCAUGCCGCGUGUGUGAAGAAGGUCUUCGGAUUGUAAAGCACUUUAAGUUGGGAGGAAGGGCAGUAAGUUAAUACCUUGCUGUUUUGACGUUACCGACAGAAUAAGCACCGGCUAACUUCGUGCCAGCAGCCGCGGUAAUACGAAGGGUGCAAGCGUUAAUCGGAAUUACUGGGCGUAAAGCGCGCGGAGGUGGUUUUGUAAGUUGGAGGUUAAAUCCCCGGGCUCAACCUGGGAACUGACUCCAAAACUGCAUGACUAGGGUACGGUAGAGGGUAGUGGAAUUUCCUGUGUAGCGGUGAAAUGCGUAGAUAUAGGAAGGAACACCAGUGGCGAAGGCGACUACCUGGACUGAUACUGACACUGAGGUGCGAAAGCGUGGGGAGCAAACAGGAUUAGAUACCCCGGUAGUCC
rnacentral:rRNA from 1 species